ensembl:lncRNA
UGGGGAAGAGCAGAUUAAAAUAGAUACAUUCUGGUUUCCUUAAAAAAAAAAAAGGAGGUUGUUAUUCCAUAUUCACAUAACCCUGUGUACCUUCCUAUUCUUUUCCCGUUUCUGAUCAUCUUCCCCAAAUUGCUGACCAUGCAAAAUUAGGAGCCAGAAGAUAUCCCCAAAUUUCUGUGUUCUGUAAUACAGAAUUGGAAGGGAGUUUAAUAAUGAAUCAGUUACAAUUACCUCCUUUAUUUCUUGUAUUUAGUAAUUUGUCAUCUCAUGCUUUAUUAAAAUCGAGGGUGAAAUUAAGUCUUUACUUUACCCAGGAUCCAUCAGUAAUUCAUGGCUGCCCUUGGAGAAGCAUGAUAGAGACAAAACUAUGUGACUGCUACUCUAGUGUAUCAAUAUAUUCUGAAAGAAAGGGCCAUCAGGAAAUUUUCAAUUGCUUAGACUUUUUAGAAGAACUGAGUUUGCAGUUUUUAAAAGAUGUGACUAAAAAUGCUCAGAGUAAAGACAAGGGCAAAAGGGAAAAGAGGUUAUGUUUCCCGGGCAUAAACUGUCACAGAAUCGUCAUUUUAAACUGCAAGCGACCUACGCCUCAUCUCCUUGUUUUAUGGAGCUGACCUGUGGUUUGAGUCUUAUGGACAAGAAGGUCAGCUGGGGGAAAACUGGAGGGAGAGUGCCCUAGGCCUGGGGCCCAGCACCUUGAGUCCAGAUCCUAGCGGCAGGCAGCCACGAAAGAUGCCUCCUCGGCCUUGGUCACAGCCCCCGCACCCCAGCGCCCCAUCGCAGCUCCCCCACCCUAACACCCCAGCACCACCCUACUUCGGCCACCUUCAACACGUGUCAGCCGGCCGCAGCCGGGCCUGCCUCAAACAGGCAUCCCUCCUCCACACUGCCCUCAGCCGUUGGGGUUCCCCUCACCGUCCUCUCUUUUUUUUUUCUUUUUUUUUUUUUUGAGGAAGAUUAGCCAUGAGCUAACUACUGCCAGUCCUCUUCUUUCUGCCAAGGAAGACUGGCCCUGAGCUAACAUCCAUGCCCAUCUUCCUCUACGUUAUACGUGGGACGCCUACCACAGUAUGGCGUGCCAAGUGGUGCCAUGUCCGCACCCGGGAUCCGAUCCAGCGAACCCCGGGCCACAGAGAAGCAUAACGUACACACUUAACCACUGUGCCACCAGGCCGGCCCCCCGCCCCUUAAAGGGUCUAUCACCAGGCAUCCCCUUCUGCCUUCACAUCUUUCUCUCAGGCCCAGCCCUGACUCGGAUGGGUCGGACUGAGGGGUCCCCCCCUCGGUGUCUGGGUCCUUCCUCAGCUCUCAGGGGUCCACCCCCGCCUCGGUGUCUGGGUCCUUCCUCAGGUCUGAGGGGUCCCCCUCUCGGCGUCUGGGUCCUUCCUCAGGUCUGAGGGGUCCCCCCCUCGGCGUCUGGGUCCUUCCUCAGGUCUGAGGGGUCCCCCCCCUCGGCGUCUGGGUCCUUCCUCAGCUCUGAGGGGUACCCCCUCGGCGUCUGGGUCCUUCCUCAGCUCUGAGGGGUUCCGGCCCUCGGUCUCUUGCGGCCCUUCUCUCGGUCUGAGGGCUCGCCUCCUCUCCCUCACCACCCGCGCGUCUCCCUCACUCACCUCGCCGCCGCCGGCUCUCCUGGACUCGCUCGCUCGCGCCGGGCGAGGGUGCGGGGCGCGCACGUCGGGCGGCGGCGGCGCGGAGCCGCGCGCGCAGCGUGCGUGGUGACGUCAGUGCGCUGGCGGCGGCGGCG